rnacentral:lncRNA from 1 species
UCAGAGCAAAGUUCUUGAAAAGGGCCACACUUUGGUAAAGUUGCAAUUUUCUUCUUGUUUAUACUCUUCAUUGUCAUUUUCAUUUGAAUAUAGAACGAAAAAAAUAAAAUAAAAAAUUAUCUAAAAAAAACUUUUUUUUUCCUCCUUAUUUUUGAAUACUUGAAUUUCCAGCCUAUUUCAUUUUCUUCUUCUUCUUUUUGUCUUGUUUAUUG